UAUCUAUUGAUGUAAGCUCCCUUUCAAUUUUUAUAAAUUUCAGAUUUUACAUUUCCGUGUUAUGAAUUUUUUUGCUUUAAAAAGGGGGGAUUUUCCAAUUUUGGGACAAUAACUAGCACUUUCACAAAAUUUUAUGCAACUUUGAUAAAUUGUUUAUAUCUAUUGACAUAAGCUCCCUUUCCAUUUUUAUAAAUUUUAGAUUUUACGUUUUCUUAAGUAAUGAAUUUUUAUACUUAAAAAAGGGG
rnacentral:lncRNA from 1 species